UACGUAGGGGGCUAGCGUUGAUCGGAAUCACUGGGCGUAAAGGGUGCGUAGGCGGGUCUUUAAGUCAGGGGUGAAAUCCUGGAGCUCAACUCCAGAACUGCCUUUGAUACUGAGGAUCUUGAGUUCGGGAGAGGUGAGUGGAACUGCGAGUGUAGCGGUGAAAUUCGUAGAUAUUCGCAAGAACACCAGUGGCGAAGGCGGCUCACUGGCCCGAUACUGACGCUGAGGCACGAAAGCGUGGGGAGCAAACAGG
rnacentral:rRNA from 1 species